AUGGUUAACAGUUGUACCUCAGUCUAUUAUCUCUAGCCAACUAUGAACAGUUGUACCUCGAUUUACUAUCUUUAGCCAACUAUGAACAGUUGUACUUCGAUUUACUAUAUUUUGCCAAUUGUUCAUAGUUGUACCUCAAUCUACUAUCUUUAGCCAGUUGUUAACAGUUGUACCCCAAUCUAAUAUCUUUUGCCAAUUGUUCACAGUUGUAACUUGAUCUACUAUCUUUAGCUAACUAUUAACAGUUGUACCCCAAUCUAAUAUCUUUUGCCAACUGUUCUAGUCGUACCUUGAUCUACUAUCCUUAGCCAACUGUUAACAGUUGUACCCCAAUCUAAUAAUUUUUGCCAACUGCUCACAGUUUACCUCGAUCUACUAUAUUUAGCCAAUUGUUAACAGUUGUACCCCAAUCUAAUAUCUUUUCCCAACUAUUCAUAGUUGUACCCAAAUCUACUAUCUUUAUUUUGGCACCAUACAAUGAAUCUAUUUUUCUCUUUAGGAAUAUGUAGUAAAUCGCAGAAUUUUUGGUAUUUGUCAAUGUGUUGUCAAUUUCCUUAAAUAUAUUGAUCGAGCAGUGGGCACUCUUUUUUUUUGGUCAUAAAGAUCGAGCACUCUUCUUUGUUUAAUUAUAAAUAGCAUAGGGAUUCACACAUGUUUCUCCACUAUCAUUUUCUUAUUCAAGCAACUUGAUCGAGUCCUCUAUGGGUGCCCUUCCUUCUCCUGCAUCAACUUUCUGUCAAUGUUUUAGAUUUCAAUGAAUAGUUCUUUACCAUGAGGUUCCUUUUCUAGGUAAUUUUCUUUUUUCCAAAUUUGAUAUUUUUAUUAUUUGCGUUCAACUAUUGCCUAUCAGUUGGUUAAAUUCUCUUUCAAUUUAUGUUACUAUUUUUUUCUGUUAUGUGAUGCUUUUCUAACAGUAUAGAUUACUUCAUUAUUGUUUGUACAAUAAGCAUCUUUUCUGGCGGUAAGAGAAAACGUAAGGAAAGAAAGAAUACAUUACUAAAAGAAAUAGAAAAAUAUGACAAAAACAACAAAAAGAGUGAAUUUAAUACUUAUUAAAUUAUAGUAGAUAUCAAGUACCUUGGUGGAAUCCUCUAUGUGGUUCACUUGCUUCUCCAUCCGCCGUUUGUCAAAAAAAUUUGAUAUUUGUGUUAUUUGUGUUUAAUCCUAAUUUUCUCUAUUACUGGUCAUGUAAGAAUGUCCUCCCCAUCAAUUUCAUGUGUAAAUGCAUUUGUCGUUUUACAAAAUCAACAAAAAAGACAGAUAAGUAAGAUUUAUCUUAUGGAAGGGAGUAGAUAUUGCCUAUAGUUAGUCAAAUUCUAUAUUUUUAUGGUUGGCGUGUAUAUUUCCUCCUUAGUUUUAUGAACUUUUAUAGUUAUACUGAUUCUUUCAUUAUUGUAAGUUCAUUGAGUAUCUUUUACGGCAAUAAUACAUUACUAGACAAAAGAAACAAGAAAUAUGAAAGAAACACCAAAAAAAAAAAAAAGGGUGAAUCCAACAUGUGCUGAAUUAUAGUAGAGAACAUCUUGCAUAGAAGUAUAUUUAUAUUAAAUAUUAACAAUAUCAACAAGAUAUAGAUGAAAAUUAGGUACUAUUUCAGCAUUAUCUUAUGUGCAAGUAUUUAUAAAUUUAUUAUUUCUCUUAUCACUUAUUCUUUAUUUUAUUUUAUUUUAUUUUUUAUUGAAAGAUAUUCGCUAAAUAAUAAUAAUAAAAAGUUAUAAUGGUGUUAAAGUGAUUGUUAAUAAGAAGGAAGGAAUCUAGCCAAGAAAGAGAUAUUCCUAAAUUAGAUAAAAAUAACCACAUGAUAGGCAGCAUCCAUGGCCUUUUCUUACUAAAAGAAAUAGAAAAAAAAAAUUAAAUAAGAUACCAUGAAAAUUGUAUGUGGCCUAGCACUUUAGGAAUUCUCUAAUAUGAUAGGCAGCAUCCAUGGCCUUUUCUUACUAAAAGAUGAAAUAGAAAUAAAUAAAUAAAUAAAUAAGAUACCAUGAAAAUUGUAUGUGGCCUAGCACUUUAGGAAUUCUCUGAUAUGAUAAAAUCCAAUAAACAAUUUAACAACCUUCAAAGCAUUUGAGAUAACAACCAUAUAUCUGAUCCCAACUCUUUCGCUUGAUGGAGAACAAUUGCUAUGACCCUCCUCCUCCUUUUGCACAUAAAAGAACCUUGUGAUGGUCAAAAUCCUAUGAUUUGUUAAAAGAUCAUUAUUCUUAUUCAACAUAUUUCAUUGUGGACUUUCUUUACAGUAUGAAUUUAUCAGAAUAUUGCAAAUGCUUGACAAGAGAGGCGAUGGAAGAUCACUAUUUUGAAAGGCUUGAGACACAUGAGGCAAAAUAUAGAAGGCUAUAUUAUCGGAUCAAUGAUUUACCAGGAAAACAGGAGGAGAUCUAUAAAUAUCGGACCACCAAACAAAGCCUUACUCCCCAAAUAUCUUACAUGGCGAUCAGAACUCAACUUUCAAACCUUACACCAAAUCACCAACAAGAGAGAGAAGAUCGCUUCCUAGUUGCAUGCACUAAUGCCCAGACACUGGGGAGUGGUGCAAAAAAACCACCUUACCUCAGGUUGGAUGCCUGUCUCCCUCCCUUGUAUGGUCUCUCAUUUGGCAUAAUAACCACGCAAUCAGGCUAUACGAUUAUACGGUUAGCAUGUGCAGCACAGAGAUUUGUCUCUGAAGAGACAAAUAAGGAAUUUGGGAGCCGUUCUCUUUGUUCGAACCAUCUUUUUAAGAUGUCCUAUUGAGCUCCACUGGCAAAUGGCCAGCUAAUCGUGUGCUAGUAGUGCCAGUGACCAGAUAUUCCUAUACACACCCAUCCACUCAUACAUGCAUACGAUAAAUGGCCUAUACAUUGGUGGUGGUGGCAGUGGCGGUGACCAUGGCUUUCUUUAUCUUUUCCAAUGCCAGAUUGACUUCAAUGGAUCCUUGAAGGCGGCUACACUCAGUUCCCUCAAGCUUCACAAGAUCAAUGAAUCCUCAAACUCAUUUUUUCAAGGCUGUUGAUAAGGGGAUCAGAGCUCUACCCACAAUAAUCUUACCUGUGGAAGUUCCAGUUUCACCUAUGAAACCAACCCUAAAGACUUCUAGCUUCAAGGAUGCAGUACACAUGGGUUCAUUAAUUGGCAAGUCAUAGCUCAAGUACCAUGAAGGGUCUCGCCAGCCGUAAGAGGAAGUCUGUGUAGCAUUUUUUUUCUAUAUAUUGAAUGAACAAUUUCCCUUCUCAAAUUACU